UCCUCCACCAGAGCUGCCCUUCAGAUUCGACUUCCUGUCAUCACAAGACGUUCCAGACUGGGAACAGACGUCGAGGAGAGCUCAGUGGAUCAUCCACAAAUACAGUCAAACACCGGGGAGUGUGCAGAUGGACAGAUUCUUCCGGAAAGACUCCCAUCUCACCUGUCUGGAGAAGAUGCUGUCGUCUCUGGCGAGGUACCUGGAGCCCCUCCCA